AUUGAACGCUGGCGGCAUGCUUUACACAUGCAAGUCGGACGAGUGGCGAACGGGUGAGUAACAUAUCGGAACGUACCGAGUAAUGGGGGAUAACUAAUCGAAAGAUUAGCUAAUACCGCAUAUUAUUCGAGCGGCCGAUAUCUGAUUAGCUGGUUGGUGGGGUAAAGGCCUACCAAGGCGACGAUCAGUAGCGGGUCUGAUAGGAUGAUCCGCCACACUGGGACUGAGACACGGCCCAGACUCCUACGGGAGGCAGCAGUGGGGAAUUUUGGACAAUGGGCGCAAGCCUGAUCCAGCCAUGCCGCGUGUCUGAAGAAGGCCUUCGGGUUGUAAAGUACUUUUGUUAGGGAAGCGGUACCUAAAGAAUAAGCACCGGCUAACUACGUGCCAGCAGCCGCGGUAAUAG
rnacentral:rRNA from 1 species